rnacentral:rRNA from 1 species
CCUCGGCAAACGGGUUAGUAAUACAUAGGAAUCUGCCCCUAAGUCAUGAAUAAUCCGGAGAAAUCCGGAAUAAUACAUGAUGUGCUCUACGGAGUAAAGAUUUAUCGCUUAGGGAGGAGCCUGUGUCCUAUCAGCUUGUUGGUAGUGUAAUAGACUACCAAGGCUAUGACGGGUAGGGGGCGUGAGAGCGUGACCCCCAACAUUGGAAUUGAGACACUGUCCAAACUCC